rnacentral:rRNA from 1 species
GAUGAACGCUGGCGGCGUGCCUAAUACAUGCAAGUCGAACGGACUCUUAUCGGUUCAUCGCUUCACAUCAUCGGAUGGGAUGCGGCGAACCAUACGAGUUAGUGGCGGACGGGUGAGUAACACGUUGGUACCUGCCCCGAAGUGGGGAAUAACUGCCCGAAAGGGUAGCUAAUACCGCAUAUUGCCGAAAGGUGAAAGCAGU